rnacentral:rRNA from 1 species
AUUGAACGCUGGCGGCAUGCCUUACACAUGCAAGUCGAACGGCAGCACGGGUGCUUGCACCUGGUGGCGAGUGGCGAACGGGUGAGUAAUACAUCGGAACGUACCUUAUCGUGGGGGAUAACGCAGCGAAAGCUGUGCUAAUACCGCAUACGCCCUGAGGGGGAAAGCGGGGGGUCGAAAGACCUCGCGCGAUUCGAGCGGCCGAUGCCUGAUUAGCUUGUUGGUGGGGUAAAAGCCCACCAAGGCGACGAUCAGUAGCUGGUCUGAGAGGACGAUCAGCCACACUGGGACUGAGACACGGCCCAGACUCCUACGGGAGGCAGCAGUGGGGAAUUUUGGACAAUGGGGGCAACCCUGAUCCAGCAAUGCCGCGUGAGUGAAGAAGGCCUUCGGGUUGUAAAGCUCUUUUGUCAGGGAAGAAACACCGGCUCUAACACAGUCCGGGAAUGACGGUACCUGAAGAAUAAGCACCGGCUAACUACGUGCCAGCAGCCGCCGUAA